CUGAAAAUCCUUGUUCCUGCUCAACUGUUUCUAGAUCUGAACUCACUCCUGCGCAGGCUGAGGGGCUGAGCCCGGUGUGCAGACGGCACUGCAGUGAAAAACAAGGCAGGGGACGUGGCACGCAGUGAAACCACAAAGAAUUGGGCUAAGUGGUGGAACCGCCUCAGAGGCAAGACAGCUGUAAAGGUGGCAGCAGAGACAGCAGCAGUGGAGGUGUUCCUUGACUCCUCCCUCUCCACCCCCCAGUUCGAGGUGGGGGGAGAUGAACCCACUUUAUCGCAUCCCUGAAUUCUGGGGCUUGGCUGACUUCGGCCAGCCAACGGCAAGCGGGACGCAGCAGAGAUGAAGGGCAGUGGCAUAAUAAAGGGACUUUUAUCUGUUGGAGUUUCACGCUGCAAGGUGGGAAACUGAGGCACGACCCAGCGUCCUGUGGGCCAGAUGGAGACAGGAUGCCUGAGAGAUCAAAUCCUCCACAAACUGUUGCUUGCUGCCCACCUACAGCAAUCGCAGCCGAAAGAUUGUGGAGCAAUAUGACAUCCUCUGAAUGAGAUAAGAAACCUAAAGACAAAACCGGCCACCCUCCAGAGGGCUGGAGGCGGGUAUUUGUACAUAAGAACCGCCACACUGGGGCAGACCAAUGGUCCAUCUAGCCCAUGGAGCUUCCUUCAUCACCAAACUCCAUCCUGCCUUCCCCCUGCUUUCCCGUGAGGGGCGACCCUCGGAAGAAUCCAUUUCAGAUGUUCACUGCUCUAGAAAGCCAGGGGGCUGAACCCCAGGUGAUAAAGAGUAUAUUCCUAUCAAAUUAAUGUCACUAAAGCAGAGACCCAGCCAGCAUACACACCAUUGCAAUAACGCAGAGGGGCAGGAGUUCCUUAUUUGGCAGGGAGGAGAUGUGGUGUUAGAGUCUGAUGUGAUACGUCAGUCACACGCACUCUGAGGGCCAUCAUGGGUUCAAAGGGUUUCUUAGAUAUCUGUGGUUUAGCUGGACGGUUACAUUCAAAUCUGUUUUCUUGACUCCCUGCAGCCUCCAUGACUUUCCUGGUCUAACAUCCAUCCAGAGAGGAGAGGUAUUCUGGCCUCCCCAACUAACUUUGGCCUGGUCACUGGACAGGUGUCUGCCUUUGUCUGGAUGGAUCUGAUCCUCCAAGUCAUUCACUGGCUUCUGGGAGGUGAGGUCUCUCCACACAUCACAGAUCAGGGCACUAGUGAGUUUCCAUGUUCCAUGUGAUCAGUGUUUCCUGUUCCUAACGCUAUGGUUGUGUUUAAGAUACCAUGUAUCUUGCCACAUGCAGACGAAUUAAUCUUCCUUCACCACUGAGGAUGGAAGAGGUAGAGUUUCCUGAGACAGAGUCGUAUCAAUCCCUGUCCAGGGAAGGGUCACGUUGGUAUUCUUCAGCAGGGCCGUCUCUAGGCACCAGCUUAUCAAGCUGGUGCUUGGGGCAGCAACCCCGGAGAGGGGCGGCACUUUCACAUAUUCG